UGAUCAAGAUUAGAUGUAACUAGUUCUUCGCAACUUGCAUCACAUACAACAACACCUAGGGUUUUAAGAUCUAAGAUUUUACAAGAAGUAAGUUUUUUUCUUUCACUUUCUUCUUCAUGGGACCUUACAGUGGCAUCCCUACACACCAUAAGAGCAUUCCAUUGAAUGAGAAGAGAGGGUCAUGUAACCCUACUUGCUCCUAU
rnacentral:lncRNA from 1 species